CUUCACCCUGUCUGUCUCUGACCACUAGGCCUAUCAGAUGGACCAAUAGAGGCCCUCUCCUUCACCCUGUCCGUCUCUGACCACUAGGCCUAUCAGAUGGACCAAUAGAGGCCCUCUCCUUCACCCUGUCUGUCUCUGACCACUAGGCCUAUCAGAUGGACCAAUAGAGGCCCUCUCCUUCACCCUGUCUGUCUCUGACCACUAGGCCUAUCAGAUGGACCAAGAGAGGCCCUCUCCUUCACCCUGUCCGUCUCUGACCACUAGGCCUAUCAGAUGGACCAAUAGAGGCCCUCUCCUUCACCCUGUCUGUCUCUGACCACUAGGCCUAUCAGAUGGACCAAUAGAGGCCCUCUCCUUCACCCUGUCCGUCUCUGACCACUAGGCCUAUCAGAUGGACCAAGAGAGGCCCUCUCCUUC
rnacentral:lncRNA from 1 species